CUUGCUUCUUAAUCGGAAUGACGCAUCACGUUCACAAAUUAUAUAAGACCACGCUCAAGGCAUUAACAGAUAAAAUAAUUUGACUUACGGUGUUUAUUCAUACCUAUCCAACUAUCGGAUUGGCGAUGCAGGCCUUAGUGACGUUCCUCACAAUUGCAAUUUGCUGCUUUAAUGCGCAUGCGCAACCAGGCGAUGAUAAUCCAUGGGGACUUUGUAACGUUACAAUACCUGCCGAACAAAAUGAGUGCGGAAUUGCUGGCGUAUGGCGUAACCAACUGAAAUCGGUGAUGAAGUUCACCUGCGUAGCGGUCAUAUCGAGGGCCAAUAUUACACCGCCGUUGGCAAUGCUGAUGGUUUCUACGACUUUGCUGGAAAGUUCCAGAUGCCGGAACAAAACACGACCGUUUUGGGAUGGGUGGUUGCCUACAAUAACCAGGUGUACGGAAACUCCAACUCCACGUGCGCUUGGUCCGGAAUUCACUAUGGCCAUGAAGGUGUUAUCCAUACGCAUUGGCUUCUGACGCACUAUCACCCUCAAAAGGACUUCUGGAAGACAACCACAAUGAACCACGAUGAUUUUGUUAAAGUCUGCUAAAUUUCAGGAAACUCAAAAAGACUGCUGAUUACCAGAAAAUCCAAAGUUACUGCGUUUAACACUUGAAAGUGGCAAAAUAUCAUUCCAAUUAUCGAUGGUCGUUUUCUACUAGAUAAAUAAAUAAAGAUAUCAUAUGUAACUCUUAA